CUAACAUUGGACAGCAUUCAGGUUUAUUCCAUAUCUUUAUCUAGCAAUAGCAAUACAGAAACCAGACAAUGAGGCUUGGAGCUCAGAAGACUGUGUGAACUAGAGAAAAGUACUGUGGUGGACCCGGGCAGACUUGGGCAGAAACUCUGCUUUGUAACUUUGUAACUAGGUGGCACAAAGUAGCUGAUAAAAUAAGUUUGGUUUUGUUUUACGCACAACACAGUUGAAAGCAUGAUUCAAUUGCCAACAAUAAAUAUAUGAAUAUUUCGCAUAAAAUCCACA
rnacentral:lncRNA from 1 species